AAUGUAUUUGGAUGUGAUAGCUGUUAAGUGACUAAUAUCUGAUUAGAUAAAUAUAUGUAUUUGUGAAUAUAUACGUAUAUAUAUUGCAUAAACUGAAUAAGAUGCUGAAACCAAAAGCAUUUUAGUCGCUAGUAAACAAGUGACCUACAAACAAGCCAUUCACAGAGGAAAAACAUUCUAUAAUAUUUCACUAAUCACAUUGGAUAAUUUUUAAUUUAAUUGGAAAAACAGUGCUAUUUUUUUAAAAGAUUAUUUUGAGACAGAAGAAGAAAUAUGAAUUCUUUUGAGGAAAAUCCUUUUGAUUAUUCAAUUACUAAACUUCCUGAAAAUGAGUAUUUUAAAAUAUCUUCGAUUGACAUUAAGGACACCUUUUUUGGCGAAAGACUAAUAGCCUACACUGAUGAUCCAUUAAGACGUCCUAUACUAAUUACUGAAUACAACACUAAGAAUAUUUUAAGCGUAUUAACGCUACAAGAAUUGAAUCAGGCUUGUGCAGAUUACUCCUUGGCGAUUGGCUUAAUUAGAAUGCAACCAUAUUUUGGUUUUGAGAGAGCUUAUAUGAAAUUCAAAAACAUAGAUCCGGAAAAAUUUCCGGAAGCUAAUGAAUUGGUGGAUAAAAUAAACAAGUGCAUUAAUUGGGAUAUAGAAGAAGAUGAUAAUAAAGAAGAAAAAGACGCCAAUGAGCAAAUGAGCGCUCUAAACAGAGCAUAACUAAUCUUGAUUUUAUUAUUUAAAAAAAAUAUUAUUUCAAUGGUUUUUUUUCUCUAUUAUAUAAUCUUUACAAUCUUUUCAACUUUAUGGAUUCGAAGUUUUAUGUUUUAUUUUCCAUCGUUGAUUUUACAGAAACAUUUUCUAGAAAUAUUCUCUGUUUUAUCGUGUUAAUGUGAUUAACAUUAAAAUUUUAAUGUGCAAGUAUGAUAACGCCGUAAAUCUCAUAUAAAAUCAAUUUCAGAUGAGUAAUGUUUUUUAUGGCUUCCAACCAAAAAUAUCAAUAAUUUUUUUAAUACAUUUUUUUUUAAAUAAAAGUACGAAAAUAAAAUAUAAUAAUUUAAAAAAAUGAAAAAAAAUAUCAUUCAUUUUUUUUAAUAAAUUAAGUUAAUUUCAUUUAAAUUUUGUGCAAAAAUUUAUAAGGAAAAAUAAAUUAAAUUGUGCUAAAUAAA